rnacentral:rRNA from 1 species
GAUGAACGCUGGCGGCGUGCCUAAUACAUGCAAGUCGAGCGAACAGAUGAUGAGCUUGCUCCUCUGACGUUAGCGGCUGACGGGUGAGUAACACGUGGAUAACCUACCUAUAAGACUGGGAUAACUUCGGGAAACCGGAGCUAAUACCGGAUAAUAUAUUGAACCGCAUGGUUCAAUAGUGAAAGACGGUUUUCCUGUCACUUAUAGAUGGAUCCGCGCCGCAUUAGCGAGUUGGUAAGGGAACGGCUUACCAAGGCAACGAUGCGUAGCUGACCUGAGAGGGUGAUCGGCCACACUGGAACUGAGACACGGUCCAGACUCCUACGGGAGGCAGCAGUAGGGAAUCUUCCGCAAUGGGCGAAAGCCUGACGCAGCAACGCCGCGUGAGUGAUGAAGGUCUUCGGAUCGUAAAACUCUGUUAUUAGGGAAGAAAAAAUGUGUAAGUAAAUAUGCACGUCUUGACGGUACCUAAUGAGAAAGCAACGGCUAACUACGUG